rnacentral:tRNA from 1 species
UCCCUGGUAGUUCAGUUGGUGAAAGAUCUGCCUGCAAUGCAGGAGACCCAGGUUCAAUUUCUGGGUUGGGAG